rnacentral:rRNA from 1 species
UCCUCCCUCUGGCGGCGUGCUUAACACACGCAAGUCGAACGGAAAGGCCCUGCUUUUGUGGGGUGCUCGAGUGGCGAACGGGUGAGUAACACGUGAGUAACCUGCCCUUGACUUUGGGAUAACUUCAGGAAACUGGGGCUAAUACCGGAUAGGAGCUCCUGCUGCAUGGUGGGGGUUGGAAAGUUUCGGCGGUUGGGGAUGGACUCGCGGCUUAUCAGCUUGUUGGUGGGGUAGUGGCUUACCAAGGCUUUGACGGGUAGCCGGCCUGAGAGGGUGACCGGCCACAUUGGGACUGAGAUACGGCCAAGACUCCUACGGGAGGCAGCAGUGGGGAAUAUUGCACAAUGGGCGGAAGCCUGAUGCAGCAAAGCCGCGUGCGGGAUGACGGCCUUCGGGUUGUAAACCGCUUUCGCCUGUGACGAAGCGUGAGUGACGGUAAUGGGUAAAGAAGCACCGGCUAACUACGUG